GUGGUAAUGCCGGAUGCUCCGACUCCUCGCAUGGGGUGUCGGGAAAGAUUCAUCGGUAUGGGAUGGGGUCGCGUCCUAUCAGGUAGUCGGCGGGGUAACGGCCCACCGAGCCUACGACGGGUAGCCGGCCUGAGAGGGCGACCGGCCACAUUGGGACUGAGAUACGGCCCAGACUCCUACGGGAGGCAGCAGUGGGGAAUAUUGCACAAUGGGCGCAAGCCUGAUGCAGCGACGCCGCGUGCGGGAUGACGGCCUUCGGGUUGUAAACCGCUUUUGAUCGGGAGCAAGCCUUCGGGUGAGUGUACCUUUCGAAUAAGCACCGGCUAACUACGUGCCAGCAGCCGCGGUAAUACGUAGGGUGCAAGCGUUAUCCGGAAUUAUUGGGCGUAAAGGGCUCGUAGGCGGUUCGUCGCGUCCGGUGUGAAAGUCCAUCGCUUAACGGUGGAUCUGCGCCGGGUACGGGCGGGCUGGAGUGCGGUAGGGGAGACUGGAAUUCCCGGUGUAACGGUGGAAUGUGUAGAUAUCGGGAAGAACACCA
rnacentral:rRNA from 1 species